UGACGGUACCCGCAGAAUAAGCCCCGGCUAACUUCGUGCCAGCAGCCGCGGUAAUACGAAGGGGGCUAGCGUUGUUCGGAAUCACUGGGCGUAAAGCGUACGCAGGCGGAUUGAUAAGUCAGGGGUGAAAUCCCGGGGCUCAACCUCGGAAUUGCCUUUGAUACUGUCUGUCUCGAGUUCGGGAGAGGUUGGCGGAAUUCCUAGUGUAGAGGUGAAAUUCGUAGAUAUUAGGAAGAACACCAGUGGCGAAGGCGGCCAACUGGCCCGAUAAUGACGCUCAGUACGAAAGCGUGGGGAGCAAACAGGAUUAGAUACCCUGGUAGUCCACGCUGUAAACUAUGGAUGCUAGCCGUUGGGGAGCUUGCUCUUCAGUGGCGCAGCUAACGUCUUAAGCAUCCCGCCUGGGGAGUACGGUCGCAAGAUUAAAACUCAACAU
rnacentral:rRNA from 1 species